UACGUAGGGGGCUAGCGUUGUCCGGAUUUAUUGGGCGUAAAGAGCGUGUAGGCGGCCAGGUAGGUCUGCUGUGAAAACUCGAGGCUCAACCUCGAGACGUCGGCGGAAACCAUCUGGCUAGAGUCCGGAAGAGGAGAGUGGAAUUCCUGGUGUAGCGGUGAAAUGCGCAGAUAUCAGGAAGAACACCAACGGCGAAGGCAGCUCGCUGGGACGGAACUGACGCUAAGGCGCGAAAGCGUGGGGAGCGAACAGG
rnacentral:rRNA from 1 species